rnacentral:tRNA from 1 species
GGGGCUGGGGCUCAGCGGUAGAGCACUCGCCUGGUAUGUGGGAGGUCCUGGGUUCGCUCCUGAGCACCA